UCUUUUUCCUGGAGCGCGGGAAAGGCAGAUCCUGUCCCAACCUCCCGCAUCCCAAACAAAGUCAAGUAGCGUUACGGGGUCGGCCUCCUAGUCCUAGCUGGCGGGACGGCGCGAGAGGCACAUCGGAGAAGGUAGUGUCGUUGGGCGGUAUAUACUGCAGGCGUUGCGUCCCCAGGUAGGCGAGAGCCGCCCUGUGCAUGAGCCGAGCCAGUCGAGCGAAAGUGUGAUGUGCUUGGGGCCAAAAACUGGCCUGGGCGCUUGGGGGUGGUGAAACUGGUGGUGGGCUGCGAACUUGCCUGAGAAGGUGGCCAGUCUGCGAGCACUCCUCAGCAGCUAGUGUUGUAGUCGUGAUUUCCGAGGAGCAAGUUUGUGCGAAGAUGAGGACGCUUUAUUCGCGGGGCCAGCACGACUGGUAGCUGCUUGUUAUGCCAAUUACAUGGGUGCGAACAAAGUUUGCGCCCGCUUGACUAGGAGGUCCUCUUUGCGGUUGCCCUGCUCCAUCGCUACCGCCGUUACGGGCCGUUGGCAUACAUGUACAUAAUAUGGAUAGGCCGCUGCGAGGAGGCGGUGAGGCAGCCCGACAAACGCGUGAUGCGGGGGACGAUUUGAGGCGGAGAGGAGGUCUUAUAAUUGACACGGAUGUAUGUAUCUGUUGCAUAAAAGGAAGGGAUCAUAGCGUGCUUAUAUCUGCAAAAUUGUGACGACCAGGAACAUCCGAACGACAUGGACGCCAAUUUCUGGGUGGUGACAAGUACACAACUUGCCAGAGCCUACAUGAUAAUCCCUGUGUAAAUCAAGUGGUAUU
rnacentral:lncRNA from 1 species